UACGUAGGGUGCAAGCGUUGUCCGGAAUUAUUGGGCGUAAAGAGCUCGUAGGCGGUCUGUUGCGUCGGCUGUGAAAACCCGAGGCUCAACCUCGGGCCUGCAGCCGAUACGGGCAGACUAGAGUUCGGCAGGGGAGACUGGAAUUCCUGGUGUAGCGGUGAAAUGCGCAGAUAUCAGGAGGAACACCGGUGGGCGAAGGCGGGUCUCUGG
rnacentral:rRNA from 1 species